rnacentral:rRNA from 1 species
UACGGGGGGAGCAAGCGUUGUUCGGAUUUACUGGGCGUAAAGGGCGCGUAGGCGGCCACCGCAAGUCAGUUGUGAAAUCUCUGGGCUUAACCCAGGACGGUCAGCUGAUACUGCGGGGCUAGAGUGCAGAAGGGGCAACUGGAAUUCUCGGUGUAGCGGUGAAAUGCGUAGAUAUCGAGAGGAACACCUGCGGCGAAGGCGGGUUGCUGGGCUGACACUGACGCUGACAGCGCGAAAGCUAGGGGAGCGAACGGG